rnacentral:lncRNA from 1 species
ACACAGCCCAGGACGGUGUCACACACUGCCCAGGACAGUGUCACACACAGCCCAGCACAGGCAGAGCCCGGGCAGCUCC